AAACAUGGGAAUCGGCCCAAAAAACCAGAGCAACAAUUAAGAGCGAAAUAGAGAGCUCGAAGACCCAGCGACCAGAACUCAGUUCCUCUUAUCACUGCAUUUUCUAUACUGCUCACUGGUACUGGUAAGUCCAGAUCUGGUGUGCAUAUGAGGUAAUUUGCAUGAACGAAGUGUCUGGUUGAUUGAACGAAGCACGAGAAAGCAAGGAGGAAGCAGAAAACUUGGGGGAAGCAAUAAAAGUGGAGGAGGAAGAAGGAGGACUUGCCUGCAUGAUUCUAUGAACCCAUUCUCUUUUAUCAUUGUUCUCAAAGCCCAUGCUUGUGGUGUGAGGACGAUAAAGGUACCUGUAAAGGAGAAAUAAGUGGUAACCAAACAUGAUGAGCAAUCCGCAAGGGACCAAAACUAGAUCAAGGUUCUCCUUCUUGAAAUGAAAUUCCAUGUUAUUGUCCCUUUCCAGGAGUUCCAAUGAAAUAAAGAUAUAUAUAUAAGACAGAGGCUGAUUAAUUAAUUGGGAAUUUACUCAUGUUAAUUAUGUAUAUUUCUUUUGUAAACUUGGUGGUUCCAAAGUGGAAUAUACCUUCAUCUUUGGUCCGUAUAAUAUUUAAUUUGAUGAA